rnacentral:rRNA from 1 species
GUCCACGCCGUAAACGAUGGGUACUAGGUGUUGGGGGUAUUGACCCCCCCAGUGCCGCCGUUAACGCAUUAAGUACCCCGCCUGGGAAGUACGGCCGCAAGGCUAAAACUCAAAGGAAUUGACGGGGGCCCGCACAAGCGGUGGAGCAUGUGGUUUAAUUCGACGCAACGCGAAGAACCUUACCUGGGCUUGACAUCCUAGGAACCCCCUGGAAACAGGGGGGUGCCCGCAAGGGAGCCUAGAGACAGGUGCUGCAUGGCUGUCGU